UGGUUAGUUAGCUCAGUUGGUAGAGCAACGGACUCUUAAUCCGUGGGUCCAGGGUUCGAGCCCCUGACUGACCAUC
rnacentral:tRNA from 1 species